UAAUUCUCCAUAUUUUUGUCAUGAUCUAUGGUCAUGGUGUAAAAUGACGUUUGUCGCCAUUUUAUUAUGAUUUAACAAUUUUACUUGCUUUUUGGUGCUUAUUUUUAGAUUAUCGAACAAAUGACUUCAGUUUGGCGCUACUCGAGCAACCGUCUACACGGGUGUGGUCUUUUCUCGACUUCGUUCGUGAUUUGAUAUUUUCAUCUUCACUUCGCAACACUAUGCAGUUGAUUUUCGGCCGAUUAGUGGGAGCAACUAAAGAUUUAUUUGAUUUCAAGUGGAACAACAAAAUUUCUGCUAUGGUGUUCCUGCUGGAGUUGGUUUGCUUUCCACACCUGCAAACUUUGGAACAUUACGAUCUACAGUUAAUUAAGAAGAGAUUGGAUGCAUGGAUUAUAUUCUUGAUUUGCUGUU